UACGGGGGGGGCAAGCGUUGUUCGGAAUUACUGGGCGUAAAGGGCUCGUAGGUGGCCAACUAAGUCAGACGUGAAAUCCCCAGGCUUAACCUGGGAACUGCGUCUGAUACUGGCGAGCUUGAGUGCAGGAGAGGAACGCGGAAUUCCAGGUGUAGCGGUGAAAUGCGUAGAUAUCUGGAGGAACACCGGUGGCGAAGGCGGCGUUCUGGACUGCAACUGACACUGAGAGACGAAAGCCAGGGGAGCAAACGGG
rnacentral:rRNA from 1 species